AAUGAAGCGCCAAUUUUUUUUUUGUAAAUAACGAGUCUCUCCCGCCUAUACUACUGAAAGAUAGAGGGCCCUAGGCGGCCACCCCUCCUCCUCUUACUCCUCUCUCUUUUUCUCUGUCUUCGUUUUCCGAUUCCACUCAACCUCUUUUCUUUGAUUCUUUAUUUUUCACUACUACCUCGGGGCUUCUCUUUUCUCCCCCUCGCCCUCUUGCUUCGAGCCCUUCUUCACUCUCUCUUAAGACGUUGCCUGGCGGAGGCGGAGGCGGAGGCGAGGUCACGGGGUCGAUGUUGCGUGGGUCUUUCUUCUCCUCGGCGCACGGUGGAGGCGAGGUCUGUUGAUCAUUCCCUUGUCGUCUUUCUUGCCUCCCUCCCCCGUUCCUCAACCUCACCAUUCAUCUCUCAAUAUUGAGGUAAUAUGUUGCUCCAUCAAUAUUGAGGUAUAUUUAAAUAACAAUAGUAUUGUGAUUAUUUGUUUAAAUUAGGGAUUUAAUUGAUUUUACGGUGUCUAAAGCACGAAAGAACGUGAUAAUUGAUGUUGAGCUUUGUGAAUCAUUAUCUACAGUUAGCGUAAUUUUUUGUUGCUUAUUGGUGCAGAAUAUGAAGGUAUGGGUUCUCAAAAUGUAAAAUGUUAGUAAAUGUAGUAUAUUUUUGUGUAAUUUUUCCGACUUAUUUUUCUUUAAUACAUUUGUUAGAUCUUGAUUGUUCUCUCUUUCCAAUAAUAGGAUUUAAUGGAAAUUCAUGGAGCAAAUAAGUGUGGGGACGGGAAGUUUAAUUACUUAUAUUACAUUAUAUAUAUGUUAUUUAUGUUAUUUGAAGCUAUUCUUGCAUUUAUGUAGUGGCUAAAUAUCUCAUUUCAAAUGGCAAUUUACAUCAGAAAGUAUAGAGUAGAGAAAGGAAUAAAUGGUUGGUGGCUUGCUAGACAAAGAAGUCGUGUUAGGGAACUACUUAUGGGAAAAGAUGAUGAGACAGAAAAAAAUGGUAGAGGUAAUUAUGUGGCUCUUGGGCCAUGUUAAGUUAAUGGUCGUAGACAGACCACUGAGAAAAGGAAGAAUAUAAUACAGCAACUAAGAAGCUCUUUGGGAUGUUAUAAAAGCAAAGAAAAGGAGGAACAGAGGAAAGGAAAAUGUUGAUCCCAAUACUUGCAUUCCUGCAACAAAGAAGAUUUAAUUACUCAAGUUUUGGGGUAGAUCUUUUGACUACUGAUGUCUUUGUGUGAUAUAAUCAUUUAAGAACUUACAAUGCAACGAUGAGUAGGCUACAACCACUAAGAGAAAAGCCACGAUAGAGAGAUGUAUAUAUCCAAGAGACUUAUGAUAAGUAAUAUUUAUAGAAAUUACAAUUUGUUUUAUGCAUUUGCUAUUACAAUUAUGAGGUAGUUUAAUUAGAUUGGUAAAGAUUUUGAACAUGCUAAUGUUUAAUCCAAUUAAUGAUAGUCCUUUAAAAAAAAUCGUAAAUAUUUACUAUUAUUAUUAAAGUCCAGUGAAAUGUUUAUUAAAAAACUUAUGACCAUUUACAUAUCAUUUUCAGGCAACUUCAAAAAACAUUAUUAGGCGGUUUAUUUAUUUAUAAUAGCAAUAUUAUUGGCUAUUAAUUAUGAAGCACCUAGGGUGCCAAUUGAUGCUUUCCUGUGUAUGCUCAGAGUUGGAUGGGUCAAUUCCUUGGACAAAGAUAGUGUGAAAAUGAGAGUAUUCUUGGUCUGGCAGAAGGGAUCUCAGCUCAACUAACUACUGGGUAAAUUGCUUCCAUGCCCACUACUUCAAGCCUUUUCACUUCCACUACUUUCUGUUGUUAUUGUGCUGCUGCAAACUUAUGAGAAAAUGGAAUUAAAUGGGUUGCAGAGUUAUGCAUUUUUGUUGUAGCAACGUCAAUAUGAUGCUACUUUUUGAGCAAGCUCUCUGACUUUUGUUGUAGCAAAGUUUGUGUAAUGCUACAACAAAGUUUUAGUGGAUAAGGAUAGCUUUCUAACUUAUUUUUGCUGCAGCAAAGUUCGUGUAAUGCUACAACAAAGUUUCAGUGGACAAGGACAACUCUCUGACUUACUUUUGCUGCAACAAAGUUCGUAUAAUGCUAUAACAAAGUUAGUAGUGACUAAAGAAAUUGAGGAAGUUCGAGAAGAAUGGGCGAUGUCAUUUUUACAAUUGGUUAGAACUAAUCAAAUAUAGAAUCAAUUUAACAAAUUAUAGGUUGAGUUAAUUUAGCUUUUUGAUGUGCAUACUUUAUUAAAUAUCCAUUUUAUGACAAACUAGUUUUUUUGGAACUUUGCUAGAUAUCCAUUUUAUGACAAAUUUUUUUUGGAACUAUGUAUUUAUUUUAUUAGAAAGUGUGAGAACUAAUCAAAUACAAAAUUAAUGUUACUAAUGUUGAUUUAAUUUAA